CGCGGGGUAGAGCAGUCCGGCAGCUCGUCAGGCUCAUAACCUGAAGGUCGCGGGUUCAAAUCCCGCCCCCGCUU
rnacentral:tRNA from 1 species